UACGAAGGGGGCGAGCGUUGUUCGGAUUUACUGGGCGUAAAGGGCUCGUAGGCGGCCAACUAAGUCGGAUGUGAAAUCCCCAGGCUCAACUUGGGAACUGCAUCCGAUACUGGAUGGCUUGAAUCCGGGAGAGGGAUGCAGAAUUCCAGGUGUAGCGGUGAAAUGCGUAGAUAUCUGGAGGAAUACCGGUGGCGAAGGCGGCAUCCUGGAUCGGCAUUGACGCUGAUGAGCGAAAGCUAGGGGAGCAAACGGG
rnacentral:rRNA from 1 species